rnacentral:rRNA from 1 species
GACGAACGCUGGCGGCGUGCCUAAUACAUGCAAGUCGAACGCAGUGGGGACGGGUGAGUAACACGUGGGUAACCUCCCAUCAGAGGGGAUAACACUUGGAAACAGGUGCUAAACCGAUACUGAUGGAUGGACCCGCGGUGCAUUAGCUAGUUGGUGGGGUAACGGCUCACCAAGGCCACGAUGCAUAGCGGACCUGAGAGGUGGACGGCCAACACUGGGACUGGGAACCGGCCCAGCUCCUGCGGGAGGAAGAAUAAGGGAAUCUCCGGAAAUGAACGAAGGUCUGACCGGGCACGGCGGGGGGAUGAAGGAGGGCUUCGGGUUGGUAAGCUCUGUUAAUCGGGACGCGGUACCGAACUAGAAAGCCACGGCUAACUACGUGCCAGCCGCCGCGGUAAUAC